rnacentral:rRNA from 1 species
GAUGAACGCUGGCGGCGUGCUUAACACAUGCAAGUCGAACGAGGUCCAACCUUCGGGUGAAGACCUAGUGGCGAACGGGUGAGUAACACGUGGGGAACCUGCCCUUCUCUCUGGGAUAACGUCGAGAAAUCGGUGCUAAUACCGGAUACUCCUUGCGGAUCGCAUGGUCUGCUCGGGAAAGCUCCGGCGGAGAAGGAUGGCCCCGCGGCCCAUUAGCUAGUUGGUGAGGUAACGGCCCACCAAGGCGACGAUGGGUAGCCGAGCUGAGAGGCUGAUCGGCCACACUGGGACUGAGACACGGCCCAGACUCCUACGGGAGGCAGCAGUGGGGAAUUUUGCACAAUGGGCGAAAGCCUGAUGCAGCAACGCCGCGUGCGGGAUGAAGGCCCUCAGGUUGUAAACCGCUUUCAGCAGGGACGAAACUGACGGUACCUGCAGAAGAAGCCCCGGCUAACUACGUGCCAGCCGCCGCAGUAA